UACGUGAGGGGCGAACGUUGUUCGGUGUCACUGGGCUUAAAGGGUGCGUAGGUGGUUGCGUAAGUAAGGUGUGAAAUCCCUCGGCUUACCCGGGGAAUUGCAUUUUAUACUGCGUGGCUUGAGGACUAAAGGGGAAAAGGGAGCUCCAGGUGUAGCGGUGAAAUGCGCAGAUAUCUGGGGGAAGGCCGGCGGCGAAGGCGCUUUUCUGGUUAGUACCUGACACUGAGGCACGAAAGCGUGGGGAGCAAACAGG
rnacentral:rRNA from 1 species